UAAGGAAUAUUGGUCAAUGGACGCAAGUCUGAACCAGCCAUGCCGCGUGAAGGAUGAAGGUCCUCUGGAUUGUAAACUUCUUUUAUCUGGGACGAAAACGGGAUUUUUAUCUCAAUUGACGGUACCAGAGGAAUAAGCACCUGCUAACUCCGUGCCAGCAGCCGCGGUAAUACGGAGGGUGCGAGCGUUAUCCGGAUUUACUGGGUUUAAAGGGUGCGUAGGUGGGAUUAUAAGUCAGUGGUGAAAUCUCCGAGCUUAACUUGGAAACUGCCGUUGAUACUAUAGGUCUUGAAUUAUCUGGAGGUCAGCGGAAUAUGUCACGUCGCGGUGAAAUGCUUAGAUAUGACAUAGAACACCAAUUGCGAAGGCAGCUUACUACAUAUAAAUUGACGCUGAGGCACGAAAGCGUGGGGAUCAAACA
rnacentral:rRNA from 1 species